rnacentral:lncRNA from 1 species
CCCAGCACUUUGGGAGGCCGAGGCGGGAGGAUCACUUGAGGCCAGGAGUUUGAGACCAGCCUGGGCAACAUAGUGAGACUGUCUCUAACUUAAAUUUUAAUCACACACACAUUCUCUUUGGGGGGGGGUGCGGGGCACGGAGUCUAGCACGGGGCCCAGGCUAGAGUGCAGUGGCGUGAGCUCACUACAACCUCUGGCUCCUGGUUCAAGUGAGUCUCCUGCCUCAGCCUCCCCAGUAGCUGGGAUUACAGGUGCCCACCACCAUGCCAGGCUAAUUUUUGUAUUUUUAGUAGAGAUGGGGUUUCGCCAUGUUGGCCAGGCUGGUCUCGAACUCCUGACCUUAAGUGAUCCGCCCGCCUCAGCCUCCCAAAGUGCUGCAAUUACAGGCAUGAGCCACUAUGCCCAGCCACAUUCUUAACCUUAAAGGGCUCUGAAUAUGGAGAUAGAACACUGGAGUCGAAGUCCCAGCCCCCUCUGUCGCUCUCUCUGAAGCUCAGUGACUACUCCAGUAUUAAAUGAUGCAUGUAUAAAGUUAGUCACUCUAUCAUUAUCUGUAAUAGCAGAUGAUUGGAAAUGACCUAAAUGUCUCAUAAUAAGGAACUAGUUUUAAAAAGCAUGUUCCAUUCAUGCCUUGAAAUACUAUACAUUGAAAAAAUAAAAAUUGUAUAAAUAUGUGAAAAAAACAGUGUGUAUAUUAUACUACGACUUACUUCUUUGUGCAUAGAUGUUCUACAAGGCUAUAUAAAAGAUUGUUAAUUAUGGUUGUCUCUUGGGAGGGGGAGUUUAGAUUGUAUAAUGGGGUAGAAGGCUGACUUUUCGUUGUUUACUAUUCUGCACCUUCUGGAUUUUGUACUAUGUAUAUAUUUUAUAUAUUAAAAUAGCUUUAUAUAAAUAAAACUAGCCCCAU